UGGGGAAUAUUGCACAAUGGGCGAAAGCCUGAUGCAGCGACGCCGCGUGAGGGAUGACGGCCUUCGGGUUGUAAACCUCUUUCAGCAGGGACGAAGCGCAAGUGACGGUACCUGCAGAAGAAGCACCGGCUAACUACGUGCCAGCAGCCGCGGUAAUACGUAGGGUGCAAGUGUUGUCCGGAAUUACUGGGCGUAAAGAGUUCGUAGGCGGUUUGUCGCGUCGUUUGUGAAAACCAGCAGCUCAACUGCUGGCUUGCAGGCGAUACGGGAAGACUUGAGUACUGCAGGGGAGACUGGAAUUCCUGGUGUAGCGGUGAAAUGCGCAGAUAUCAGGAGGAACACCGGUGGCGAAGGCGGGUCUCUGGGCAGUAACUGACGCUGAGGAACGAAAGCGUGGGUAGCGAACAGG
rnacentral:rRNA from 1 species